AGAGUUUGAUCCUGGCUCAGGAUGAACGCUAGCUACAGGCUUAACACAUGCAAGUCGAGGGGCAUCAGGAAGAAAGCUUGCUUUCUUUGCUGGCGACCGGCGCACGGGUGAGUAACACGUAUCCAACCUGCCCUUUACUCGGGGAUAGCCUUUCGAAAGAAAGAUUAAUACCCGAUAGCAUAAUGAUUCCGCAUGGUUUCAUUAUUAAAGGAUUCCGGUAAAGGAUGGGGAUGCGUUCCAUUAGGUUGUUGGUGGGGUAACGGCCCACCAAGCCUUCGAUGGAUAGGGGUUCUGAGAGGAAGGUCCCCCACAUUGGAACUGAGACACGGUCCAAACUCCUACGGGAGGCAGCAGUGAGGAAUAUUGGUCAAUGGGCGCUAGCCUGAACCAGCCAAGUAGCGUGAAGGAUGAAGGCUCUAUGGGUCGUAAACUUCUUUUAUAUAAGAAUAAAGUGCAGUAUGUAUACUGUUUUGUAUGUAUUAUAUGAAUAAGGAUCGGCUAACUCCGUGCCAGCAGCCGCGGUAAUACGGAGGAUCCGAGCGUUAUCCGGAUUUAUUGGGUUUAAAGGGAGCGUAGGUGGACUGGUAAGUCAGUUGUGAAAGUUUGCGGCUCAACCGUAAAAUUGCAGUUGAUACUGUCAGUCUUGAGUACAGUAGAGGUGGGCGGAAUUCGUGGUGUAGCGGUGAAAUGCUUAGAUAUCACGAAGAACUCCGAUUGCGAAGGCAGCUCACUGGACUGCAACUGACACUGAUGCUCGAAAGUGUGGGUAUCAAACAGGAUUAGAUACCCUGGUAGUCCACACAGUAAACGAUGAAUACUCGCUGUUUGCGAUAUACAGUAAGCGGCCAAGCGAAAGCAUUAAGUAUUCCACCUGGGGAGUACGCCGGCAACGGUGAAACUCAAAGGAAUUGACGGGGGCCCGCACAAGCGGAGGAACAUGUGGUUUAAUUCGAUGAUACGCGAGGAACCUUACCCGGGCUUAAAUUGCAGUGGAAUGAUGUGGAAACAUGUCAGUGAGCAAUCACCGCUGUGAAGGUGCUGCAUGGUUGUCGUCAGCUCGUGCCGUGAGGUGUCGGCUUAAGUGCCAUAACGAGCGCAACCCUUAUCUUUAGUUACUAACAGGUUAUGCUGAGGACUCUAGAGAGACUGCCGUCGUAAGAUGUGAGGAAGGUGGGGAUGACGUCAAAUCAGCACGGCCCUUACGUCCGGGGCUACACACGUGUUACAAUGGGGGGUACAGAAGGCAGCUAGCGGGUGACCGUAUGCUAAUCCCAAAAGCCUCUCUCAGUUCGGAUCGAAGUCUGCAACCCGACUUCGUGAAGCUGGAUUCGCUAGUAAUCGCGCAUCAGCCACGGCGCGGUGAAUACGUUCCCGGGCCUUGUACACACCGCCCGUCAAGCCAUGGGAGCCGGGGGUACCUGAAGUACGUAACCGCAAGGAUCGUCCUAGGGUAAAACUGGUGACUGGGGCUAAGUCGUAACAAGGUAGCCGUACCGGAAGGUGCGGCUG
rnacentral:rRNA from 1 species